rnacentral:rRNA from 1 species
UUUUAUUUGAGAGUUUGAUCCUGGCUCAGGAUGAACGCUGGCGGCGUGCCUAACACAUGCAAGUUGAGCGAUUUACUUCGGUAAAGAGCGGCGGACGGGUGAGUAACGCGUGGGUAACCUACCCUGUACACACGGAUAACAUACCGAAAGGUAUGCUAAUACGGGAUAAUAUAUUUGAGAGGCAUCUCUUAAAUAUCAAAGGUGAGCCAGUACAGGAUGGACCCGCGUCUGAUUAGCUAGUUGGUAAGGUAACGGCUUACCAAGGCGACGAUCAGUAGCCGACCUGAGAGGGUGAUCGGCCACAUUGGAACUGAGACACGGUCCAAACUCCUACGGGAGGCAGCAGUGGGGAAUAUUGCACAAUGGGCGAAAGCCUGAUGCAGCAACGCCGCGUGAGUGAUGAAGGCCUUCGGGUCGUAAAACUCU